rnacentral:tRNA from 1 species
GCGCCUGUAGCUCAGUUGGAUAGAGUGACGGACUACGAAUCCGUAGGUCGCAGGUUCGAAUCCUGUCAGGCGCACCA